GAUGAACGCUGGCGGCGUGCCUAAUACAUGCCAGUCGAGCGAACAGAUGAGGAGCUUGCUCCUCUGACGUUAGCGGCGGACGGGUGAGUAACACGUGGAUAACCUACCUAUAAGACUGGGAUAACUUCGGGAAACCGGAGCUAAUACCGGAUAAUAUAUUGAACCGCAUGGUUCAAUAGUGAAAGACGGUUUUGCUGUCACUUAUAGAUGGAUCCGCGCCGCAUUAGCUAGUUGGUAAGGUAACGGCUUACCAAGGCAACGAUGCGUAGCCGACCUGAGAGGGUGAUCGGCCACACUGGAACUGAGACACGGUCCAGACUCCUACGGGAGGCAGCAGUAGGGAAUCUUCCGCAAUGGGCGAAAGCCUGACGGAGCAACGCCGCGUGAGUGAUGAAGGUCUUCGGAUCGUAAACCUCUGUUAUUAGGGAAGAACAAAUGUGUAAGUAACUAUGCACGUCUUGACGGUACCUAAUCAGAAAGCCACGGCUAACUACGUG
rnacentral:rRNA from 1 species